GAUGAACGCUGGCGGCGUGCCUAAUACAUGCAAGUCGAACGCUGAAGGAAGGCGCUUGCUCUUUCCGGAUGUGUUGCGAACGGGUGAGUAACGCGUAGGUAAUCUGCCUGGUAGCGGGGGAUAACUAUUGGAAACGAUAGCUAAUACCGCAUAACAGUAGAUGUUGUAUGAUAUCUACUUAAAAGGUGCAAUUGCACCACUACCAGAUGGACCUUCGUUGUAUUAGUUAGUUGGUGAGGUAACGGCUCACCAAGGCGUGGACACAUAGCCGACCUGAGAGGGUGGGCGGCCAGCCUGAGACGGUGACAGGGCACAUUCGCAUAGAGGAGGCAGCAGGAGUGAAUCGGCGGCAAGGGACGGAAGUCUGACCGAGAAGCGCCGCAGGAGUAAAGAAGGUUGUCGGAUCGUAAAGCUCGGUUGUAAGGUAAGAACGAGUGUGAGAGUGGGAAGUUCACAGUGUGACGGUAACGUACCAGAAAGGAACGGCUAACUACGUG
rnacentral:rRNA from 1 species